AGGUAAGGAGAUAGCUGUUCCGGAAGAAGACACGAAACGACAUUCGAAUGUUGUUUUCUUUGGCCUUGUUGAUGCUGGGAAAUCAACAACUGGAGGAAAGAUACUGUUUCCAAGUGGUCAGGUUGAUGAUCGUACUAUACAAAAGUAUGAAAAAGAAGCCAAGAAUAAAAGCAGGGAAAGUCGGCGAGACUUCUGUUGGAUUGUAGAACCUGAUAAUCAUCAUUCAUGCGGUUUCUUUAUUGCUUUUACGCAAUGAAUAUAAUUGAUUUGUGAUUGUAUCUCACCUAGCUCUUUCAAUAGCUAGUGGUACAUUUUACAUGAGUAGAUGGUUGACUCUCCUUAGCUGUGUGAUAUAGGGAAUGUCAGUUUUCUUGUGGGAGCUGUUUUCUAUAGCAAGGCUUUCUCGUACAUUAUACAUUAUUGCUUUCAACCAUGCUUUAUUGAUCAUGUGGUCUGAAUCAGGUACAUGGCCUAUAUUAUGGAUACCGAUGAGGAGGAAAGAGUUAAGGGUAAACUGUUGAGGUUGGAAGAGCACAUUUUGAAAUGGAGACCACUAGAUUUACUAUUCUUGAUGCACCGGGCCAGAAAAGUUAUGUCCCCCAACAUGAUCAGUGGGGCAUGCCAGGCUGAUAUAGGCGUGCUGGUAAUUUCUGCUCGGAAGGGUGAAUUCGAAACUGGUUAUGAGAAAGGUGGUCAAACCCGUGAGCAUGUUCAGCUUGCAAAAAACCUUGGGUGUUUCGAAGCUACUUGUAGUCGUAAAUAAAAUGGAUGACCCCACUGUCAAUUGGUAUAAAGAAAGGUACGAUGAAAUUGAAUCCAAGAGGAUGCCUCUCUUGAAAUCUUCGGGUUACAAUGUUAAAAAAGACGUACAGUUCUUACCUAUUUCUGGCCUGGUUGGAACGAACAUGAAAACCAGAGCACUGGUCCGGGGUGCAGAUUCGCCACCAUCGGAUGGAGCCUUAGGUCAGGAUCGUCGCCGCGUACAGUGGCACCGUCGCCGUCAUCAACGUGGUGUGGUAGAAGUCCGACCCCGAGAUCAUCGAAGUAAUAACAAUCGUUUAUAGGAGGGAACUUACUAUAAAAAGUCAAGAAAAUAAUAAUUGCUCAUGAAAGUAAUUUUCUUACAUAUCGAAAUUUGCUACAGUCAAUUUUAAGAUUGGGCGAUUUUUGACGUCAUCUUUCACGGUUGAAAGAAUCGGUUUCUUCU